CCGGUUUCAACACUAAGUAAUCUAAUCUAAUCAUCAAUCUUAUAAACUCUGUCUUCCUUAUAAAGAAUUACAAUUUCUUUCCUCCUAGUAUCCACCCUGAAUCCUCGCCAAAAACAGCCGAUAAACAACUGCAGUUCCAUGGGCACAAUCUUCCCUAAAAAAAGCACACAUCUGCAGAAAUUCCUCAAUUUUGAUUACAAUGGAGAGGAAAUAAGAAGAUCCGGGUGACCCUCAGAUUGCUUUCAUAUAUCUCUUAGAGACUGACACAACAUUGCAGUGGUGGAAACCUGGAAGUUUAUGUUGCGCCUGUGACAAGGUCAAGGCGGAGUUGUGAAGAGGAGAACUGUGACAACAUAUGAAAAUCUCCAUGGGAAUUAGAACAAAAUCUAACCUUCAAUGAGUGUAUGGAUCACUUCUUUAUGGCCCAUCUCACAAGCCCGGAAAA